AAAUAAUUAAAACCGUCGCAAUAUACUUAAAAUCGUUGUAAUAGGGUAUUCUGUGGUAACGGUUUUAAUAACCAUCGCUAUAGACAAUUAUUAGCCACGAUUAUUUUUUAAUUAAAAAAAUUCAAUAUUUUGACUUUAGUUUAGAAAGCCCCAACUCAGUACUUCCAUAGUUGGAUACUUAUCUUCCUCUUCGUCAAUUCUUCAGUGUCAGAGACUUUGAUAGUUGGAUACUCAUCUUCUCUUCUUCAAUUCUUUAAGGAAUCGGUUUGGUUCAAGUGAAAGACACUUCGUUGUUCAAGUGAAAGACACUUUAUUGGUUCAAGUGAAAGAAACUUUGGUUUGGUUUAUAUCGAUUCAACCUCUCUUGUUCCACUCAUGUUCUUCUCCAUUUGAUUUGGUUUGAAUCAUUCAACCUUGGUGUAUUCGCUACAACAGCGUCUUUGUCAAGGUUCUUUCACAUUUGACAACUUCUGAUCUCUGUAAUUCUGAGGGAGUCAGGAAAGCUACAUUAAUUUUGACAACUUCUGAUCUCUGUAAUUCUGAGGGAGUCAGGAAAGCUACAUUAAUAGAAGCUAUUUUUCUUGUGGGGAAAAAACUGAAGGAGUCAAAGAUAAAAGUUACAUGUGUUCUUUGAGUGUCUUGUAUUCUGCGCAGUUAGCACUAUUGGAAAUAGGGGCUAUGGCAAAAAUUCUUUUGCAACAGUUACACAACUGUCGCUAUAUAAAACCUACGAAAUAUUUAUAACCUUCGCAUAAUAUGGUAGUAUCUGUUGGGAUAAUUAAUUAAAUAAACCAUCGCAUAACAGCUGAAGGUCUCGUUAAUCUUAGAGAAUUCAUAUAUAAAUUUUCUUAAAAAAUUUUCUCAUUAAUGAUAGAUCCAAUUUAGAAAGGGAUUUAUUAUGCAAGAAAUAAAGUCCCUGUUAACUUGUAUGAUUUGGAGGAAGAAAGUUGUCCCAAAAUUGAAGAAACAUUUUGGAGGGAGCCUAAUGAUGACAUUGGUUCAUCAGAAAGAGUAGUCGAUGUUGAUGUCAGAUGGGUUGAGGGAUGAUCUCCCUAUUGAUAUCAUUGAUGUGCCUUCCCUUCCCAAUAUUCAGAAGAUGUAGAAACAUCAGAACAAGAGGAUAACAUUGAUGAUACCGAUUAGGAUUGGAUGGAAGCUGAUGACUGACAAAAUUAAGAUAUUCUAAACUUGUUUAAAAUUUCUUUGUAAUGGUAAGUAGUAUAUUAGACUCUUUUUGCUAUCUUUUAUUUUGUUUCUUUAAUGUGCUUAAUUUUCAAAAUGUCUUAAAUUAGUGAAAUUUAACAAAUGCAUAUGUGCUAAGAGUUGUUGGACACUUUGUGAAGCCUUUCUUUCUAGUAUCUCUUUCUUCUUUUGGGAUUAAUUGUGUUGCUAAGUCUUUUUAUUUCUUCUUCAAUUUCAGUAUUCAUCUUUCUGUAUUGUCUCUGAGCAAUCUAUAAUUUCAAAUUGUCCUAAGAAAAGUUCAGGUUGUGUGGGUUCCUGGCUGUAUUGAAAGCGGCGUGGCUGCACGGCAUCUUGGAAAGUUACAGAAGUAUUAAGCAAUGCUCUGCAUUGGGGGUUCAAGAUUGCCAACCAACCUACCUGAUUUGUUGUAGUGAAAGGUUACGAACAAACCUGCCUCGAAACAUCAUAGGUGAUGGUUGAACACUUAGAUACCCUUUUGUUUUGCUUUAUUAUAGCCUGUUUAGCUUUAUUGUGAAAGGUUUUCUUUAUUAGACAACUGCAUUAUUUAGGGAGUUAUCUAAGGGGUGUCCACUGUUGAUUUCAGGGGCUCCCCUCUAUACUAUUUGGUUUAUUUUCUUAGGUGUCAUGUCUUUAAGAAAUAGCUUCGCUACCUCUAUGAGGUACUGAUAAGGUUUGCGUACUAAGAAAACACAGAAAUUCUGAAAAUUGUUUCAAAAUGUUUAUUUUAUAAAUUUCCUAAAUGUGUAAAAAUCUAAGAAAUCAAUAAUCUCGUAUAGUA